GUGAACUCUUGGGUGCAAGCGAUCCUCCUGCCUCAGCUACCCAAAGUGUUGGGAUUACAGGCCCUGCACUUCUGAGGCUUGAUCUGUGAUGCUGGGAGAGAUGGGACGCUGUCAGAAGGGGCUAUUGGCAGGCUGCCAAGAGGCUGCCCACAGAGGCCUUUGCCCUGACAAAUUCACCCCUGGGGCCCUGAGUCUGCCCUCAGCCUGACAGCUGGUAGAGAGGAGAUCCAGGUCCCAGCUGUGGACUCAGACGAAUCAAUUGCUCACGAGGCCAAUAUAUACACCAGAUGAGUUGGCUGACUCAUUGGCACUUCCUACAAUCCAGUUCCUUCAUCCCCCCGCCGCCCCUGCCACAAGCUUCCUGUUGGAGUCUGGAGGACCUCAAAGAUUUCCAAAGAGGCCAGCCCUUGGGAGGCCGAGGACUUCACAGCCCGAGGGGAGAGCAAGUCGUCCAGCCGCUGAGACCCACUCAGACCACGAACAGGGCAGGUGCUCAGAGGGCUCGCCCUCUCGUCCACCCCAAACUGGCUGUUGGACAUUCUAGUGUUGACCCAGAGAAAGAAGCUGAGGCAAAAUCAAUAUAUAGGGUUAAUUUGGGCCAAGAGUGAGGACAGCCAUUGGGGACACACUUCAAGUUGCCUUGGGGUAUGCUCUGUGUUCGGCUUUUGUUACAAGCAGGCCUUUAAAGGCAAAAGGGGACAAGGAGUGGGUGAUUCAACAAUGUUCUUAUUAGUUUGCAGCAAUAACAUUGGCUUGUGAUUGGCUAGGCAUUAUUGAGCUAUGGGGUAUGAGUUACGGUGUCUGGAAUAUGGCGUUUUAUGGCUACAUGGUAUCAGUCUAGAGCCCACAUAGCAAGUGGCUUCAAGAGGUAAUUAUUUAGCUUGGUGGUCGGGGGUGGGGUGAGAUGUGACUGACUGCUGUCAUUUGCUGUUGCAUUUCUUUUUUAAGACAGAGUCUCACUCUGUUGCCCAGGCUGGAGUGCAGUGGUGCAAUCUUGGCUCAA